UGGGGAGGGGGUGGGGGCGGGGGCGGCGGGGAGAAGAGAAAAGAAAGGGAACGAAGCAGCAGAACGUCCUUGAGCGGAGGCCGGGAGCCGGCGUCCCCGCGGCCGGCAGAGGCAGAGGCGAGGAGGGGACAGCAGGCAGGGCCGCCUUGGGCUGGGUGGUGCCUGCGCUGGGGGCCACGGGGCGUCUGGUCGCUGCCGGCUGCGCUGUGACCCCGAGGUCGGUGACGGCCGCACCCACCAGCGCUGCGCACGGCAGCUUUCACCGCGCGCCCUGCCUGGGUUCCCAGAGGCCAGGCGGGCUCUUGGGGAGCGGAGCAGAGCACAGCCUCGCCCGCACGGCCCCAUCCCCUCGCGGGACCGCUGAAGCCACGGCGGUGCAGACGGUGCCAGCCGCAGUGUUAGGGCUGACAACAAGGUCUUGCUAUGUGGCCCAGGCUAGCCUCAAACUCACAUGGAUCCUCCUGAUCCUCCUGCCUCAGCCUCCCGAGUGCCGGGAUUCCAGGUCGGCAGUACACACCCGGCUAGAGGAGUCUACUAUAAAUAUGGGCGGAGUCUAUCUUUACAGGACCACGCCCAGCAGGUACUUGCUGCAGACUCCAGAGCUCUCUUCUGCCGCCUUGGGUGACAGAGGCUACAUUUCGAGCUUCACAGCCGCGGGGACGCACGGCUCCAGGCUCUGCCGCCCGGCUCUGCUCUGCUCCAUCUCGCUGAAACAGCGCGGAGCCGCCAGCCUCGGGCCACACUUGGCACCUUCGGGCGGCGGGUGUCAGCGACUGAGUCUCAGUGACAAGGAGGAGACUGCGGUGCUCACAGCUUGAGAAACACCGGUUUGGAUUUCUUUUCUCUUUCUUCUUGGUUUUAUAAUAAAUCACCUGGGAAGCUCUGGGAAAAAAAAAAAAAAAAACCGGGCCAGCUGAAACCAGGCCAAGCAAGCUCGACAUGCCCUUGGGCUUGGGUCUCAGGGCCACUCAGCCCCGGCCUGUCCCUUUCCCGUCAGCCCCUCGGCCUCUGUCCCCUCGCCUGGCCGCCCGGCCACAGCACAGCGAGCCCCGGGCACGGAGAGCAGGACGGCGCGCGCUCCGGAUGCGGCACCACCGCGAAUCGCCACCCAGCAGGCGCCGGGCCGCAGGAGCUGCUGGGGGGAAAGGAAAGCUCUGCGUCCCCGGGGAAGACAGGGGAGUCUGCUGGGCUUCGUGUUUGCUUUCUGGAGAGGGCGGGAUGGGAGCAGAGAAGCUGGUGUUGGGGGAAACUUCACCCAACAACGCUCGAUCUAGACCUCACCCCUCCAAUCCCUUUCAAACAAAUAAAUGAUGAGAAAAC
rnacentral:lncRNA from 1 species